rnacentral:rRNA from 1 species
UGGGGAAUAUUGCACAAUGGGCGCAAGCCUGAUGCAGCCAUGCCGCGUGUGUGAAGAAGGCCUUCGGGUUGUAAAGCACUUUCAGCGGGGAGGAAGGCGAUAAGGUUAAUAACCUUGUCGAUUGACGUUACCCGCAGAAGAAGCACCGGCUAACUCCGUGCCAGCAGCCGCGGUAAUACGGAGGGUGCAAGCGUUAAUCGGAAUUACUGGGCGUAAAGCGCACGCAGGCGGUCUGUCAAGUCGGAUGUGAAAUCCCCGGGCUCAACCUGGGAACUGCAUUCGAAACUGGCAGGCUAGAGUCUUGUAGAGGGGGGUAGAAUUCCAGGUGUAGCGGUGAAAUGCGUAGAGAUCUGGAGGUAUACCGGUGGCGAAGGCGGCCCCCUGGACAAAGACUGACGCUCAGGUGCGAAAGCGUGGGGAGCAAACAGG